rnacentral:rRNA from 1 species
GACGAACGCUGGCGGCGUGCCUAAUACAUGCAAGUUGAGCGAUGAAGCUUGGUGCUUGCCCCAAUUUGAAGAGCAGCGAACGGGUGAGUAACGCGUGGGGAAUCUUCCUUUGAGCGGGGGACAACAUUUGGAAACGAAUGCUAAUACCGCAUAAUAACUUUAAACAUAAGUUUUAAGUUUGAAAGAUGCAAUUGCAUCACUCAAAGAUGAUCCCGCGUUGUAUUGGCUAGUUGGUGAGGUAAAGGCUCACCAAGGCGAUGAUACAUAGCCGACCUGAGAGGGUGAUCGGCCACAUUGGGAAUGAGACACGGCCCAAACUCCUACGGGAGGCAGCAGUAGGGAAUCUUCGGCAAUGGACGAAAGUCUGACCGAGCAAAGCCGCGUGAGUGAAGAAGGUUUUCGGAUCGGAAAACUCUGUUGGUAGAGAAGAACGUUGGUGAGAGUGGAAAGCUCAUCAAGUGACGGUAACUACACAGAAAGGGACGGCUAACUACGUG